rnacentral:lncRNA from 1 species
CCUGAGCUUUUGUGAAGGCGCGUCUAAAAUAGAAUAACAAACAUAAUUAGAUAGGGAAUGGUUUUAAAUAAUUGCCUGCAUCUUUGACUUCCGUCGCAUAUAUUCUGCCUCACACGUCUUACUUUCAAUAGCUGCGCGCGACACGUGUUGGAUCUCUUUGCAGUCGGGGCUCUGAAAGAUCUGCACGUUAGGUCCUCGAUAUUGGAGUUGAAGUCAGUAUGCUCUGGAUCUCCUGUUUAAAACGGCCCCUCCCAACGGGGUCAACAUGGCUGAUGCAUGGUCAGUGUAUCAGUUUUGCGGGAUGUCUUUCACCGCAUACACGAAGUACCACCUGGAAAGACAUGCCAUGUUGAGUCGGCUCCAUGGCAACCAGAUGGAGUCCAAUGGCCAUCAGAUCUUAAUCUGUGUGAGAUUAUGCUUGAAUACUCAUGGAAUCAUCUAGAUGGCCCUGCUUUACAUCUAGCAAGAAUAAUCACUGUACUGAUGGAGUGA